rnacentral:rRNA from 1 species
UACGUAGGGUGCGAGCGUUGUCCGGAAUUACUGGGCGUAAAGAGCUCGUAGGUGGUUUGUCGCGUUGUCCGUGAAAACUCACAACUCAAUUGUGGGCGUGCGGGCGAUACGGGCAGACUGGAGUACUGCAGGGGAGACUGGAAUUCCUGGUGUAGCGGUGGAAUGCGCAGAUAUCAGGAGGAACACCGGUGGCGAAGGCGGGUCUCUGGGCAGUAACUGACGCUGAGGAGCGAAAGGCGUGGGGAGCGAACAGG